GAUGAACGCUGGCGGCGUGCCUAAUACAUGCAAGUCGAGCGAACGGACGAGAAGCUUGCUUCUCUGAUGUUAGCGGCGGACGGGUGAGUAACACGUGGAUAACCUACCUAUAAGACUGGGAUAACUUCGGGAAACCGGAGCUAAUACCGGAUAAUAUUUUGAACCGCAUGGUUCAAAAGUGAAAGACGGUCUUGCUGUCACUUAUAGAUGGAUCCGCGCUGCAUUAGCUAGUUGGUAAGGUAACGGCUUACCAAGGCAACGAUGCAUAGCCGACCUGAGAGGGUGAUCGGCCACACUGGAACUGAGACACGGUCCAGACUCCUACGGGAGGCAGCAGUAGGGAAGCUUCCGCAAUGGGCGAAAGCCUGACGGAGCAACGCCGCGUGAGUGAUGAAGGUCUUCGGAUCGUAAAACUCUGUUAUUAGGGAAGAACAUAUGUGUAAGUAACUGUGCACAUCUUGACGGUACCUAAGCAGAAAGCCACGGCUAACUACGU
rnacentral:rRNA from 1 species